CGUAGGGGGCAAGCGUUGUCCGGAUUUAUUGGGCGUAAAGCGCUCGCAGGUGGUCCGUCGCGUCGUGCGUGAAAGCCCCCGGCUCAACUGGGGAGUGUCGUGCGAUACGGGCGGACUGGAGGCCAGUAGGGGGAUGCGGAAUUCCGGGUGUAGUGGUGGAAUGCGUAGAGAUCCGGAGGAACACCAGCGGCGAAGGCGGCAUCCUGGACUGGUCCUGACACUCAUGAGCGAAAGCGUGGGGAGCGAUCCGGAUUAGAUACCCGGGUAGUCCACGCUGUAAACGAUGCGCACUAGGUGUCGGGGGUAUCGACCCCCUCGGUGCCGCAGCUAACGCGAUAAGUGCGCCGCCUGGGGACUACGGCCGCAAGGCUA
rnacentral:rRNA from 1 species